AAAAAAAAGUGAUCGGAUUUACCUUUUUUAUUUUUUUUAAUCGAAAUAAAAAAUUCAUUAAUAAAAUCUUAAGCACGUGGCUUCAGCCCAACAAUACAAUAAACCUAGCUAAAAGUCUAACAACCCAACCCAAAACAAGUAGGCCCAACCCAUUUAAAGGAAACCCUAAACUUAAUCGAGUGUACCCACACCACACCUAGCAGAGACAAACUGGCACAACCACCUCAUUACCGGCGGCGGAAACAUAGCAAAGAAGACAACGAGAAUCCACUGGGUCACCAUCUACUGCUCAGAAGGCCAACAAGAAAGAAACAUUUAACUCAAAGAAAAAAGCAUUGCAGCCCUUGGACGAAUGAAUCAACAACGGCUUGGUAGAAUUUGAGCCUACACCAUCAAAACUAGAGACUGAAAGGAAACUAAGCACAACAAAAAGAAAAUUAUAAGAAAACAAACGAAAAACAUAGAUUUAAAGAAAGAGAGGAGGGGGAGGGUAGACGAUCAAAUGGUUGGACCUCCUUAAAACUAAAUUUGUAGAGAGAAA
rnacentral:misc_RNA from 1 species